CCGACACAGGUGGGGUGGUAGAGAGUACCGAGGGGCGCGAGGUAACUCUCUCUAAGGAACUCGGCAAAAUGGCCCCGUAACUUCGGGAGAAGGGGUGCCACCGCAAGGUGGUCGCAGUGAAGAGGCCCAGGCGACUGUUUACCAAAAACACAGGUCUCCGCUAAGUCGCAAGACGAUGUAUGGGGGCUGACGCCUGCCCAGUGCCGGAAGGUUAAGGAAGUUGGUCAGCGAAAGCGAAGCUAGCGACUGAAGCCCCGGUGAACGGCGGCCGUAACAAUAACGGUCCUAAGGUAGCGAAAUUCCUUGUCGGGUAAGUUCCGACCCGCACGAAAGGCGUAACGAUCUGGGCGCUGUCUCGGAGAGAGGCUCGGCGAAAUAGAAUUGUCUGUGAAGAUGCGGACUACGUGCACCCGGACAGAAAGACCCUAUGAAGCUUUACUGUAGCUUGGUAUUGUGCCCGGGCUCUGAAUGCGCAGGAUAGGUGGGAGGCUUUGAUCCAUGGCUUGCGGGUCAUGGUGAGCCAACGGUGAGAUACCACUCUUUCAGAGCUAGGGUUCUAACGGUCACCCGUUAUCCGGGGACCGGACAGUAUCUGGUGGGCAGUUUGACUGGGGCGGUCGCCUCCUAAAAGGUAACGGAGGCGCGCAAAGGUUUGCUCAGGCUGGUUGGAAAUCAGCCGACGAGUGUAAAAGCAGAAGCAAGCUUGACUGUGAGACCAACAAGUCGAACAGGGACGAAAGUCGGCUAUAGUGAUCCGACGGUUCUGAGUGGAAGGGCCGUCGCUCAACGGAUAAAAGUUACUCUAGGAUAACAGGCUGAUCUCCCCCAAGAGUUCACAUCGACGGGGAGGUUUGGCACCUCGAUGUCGGCUCAUCGCAACCUGGGGCUGAAGUCGGUCCCAAGGGUUGGGCUGUUCGCCCAUUAAAGCGGUACGCGAGCUGGGUUCAGAACGUCGUGAGACAGUUCGGUCCAUAUCCGGUGCAUGCGCAGGAAUAUUGAGAGGAGUUCUCCCUAGUACGAGAGGACCGGGAGGAACGCACCUCUGGUGUACCAGUUAUCGUGCCAACGGUAAACGCUGGGUAGCCAUGUGCGGAGAGGAUAACCGCUGAAAGCAUCUAAGUGGGAAGCCCACCUCAAGAUGAGUAUUCCCAUGGCAUAAGCCAGUAAGGUCACGGGAAGAACACCCGUUGAUAGGCUCUACGUGGAAGCGCAGUAAUGCGUGAAGCGGAGGAGUACUAAUAGACCGAGGGCUUGAC
rnacentral:rRNA from 1 species